rnacentral:rRNA from 1 species
AUACGUAGGGGGCGAGCGUUGUCCGGAAUGAUUGGGCGUAAAGGGCGCGUAGGCGGCCCGGUAAGUCUGGAGUGAAAGUCCUGUUUUUAAGAUGGGAAUUGCUUUGGAUACUGUCGGGCUUGAGUGCAGGAGAGGUAAGUGGAAUUCCCAGUGUAGCGGUGAAAUGCGUAGAGAUUGGGAGGAACACCAGUGGCGAAUGCGACUUACUGGACUGUAACUGACGCUGAGGCGCGAAAGUGUGGGGAGCAAACAGGAUUAGAUACCCUGGUAGUCCACACUGUAAACGAUGAAUGCUAGGUGUAGGGGGUAUCGACCCCUUCUGUGCCGCAGUCAACACAAUAAGCAUUCCGCCUGGGGAGUACGGCCGCAAGGUUGAAACUCAAAUGAAUUGACGGGG